UUGCACAUGUAUAAGAACCUAUUGCAGCAGUAUGCUCAAAAGCAAAAUCUUGGUUUUCCUGUAUAUACUUCUGAAGCUGAAGGUCCUCCCCAUGCUCGCCGCUUCAAGUCAAGAGUUUGUUUAGACGGAAAAUCAUAUGAGACAUUUGAAUUUUUUUCCCACACUAAAGGAAGCUGAACAAGCAGCUGCUAAAGUUGCUUGUCAGGUGUUGUCUGUGGAUGUGGUCCAAGAGGAUGCAGGGUUAUACAAAAAUCUUCUACAAGAAUUUGCU